rnacentral:rRNA from 1 species
UACGUAGGGGGCAAGCGUUAUCCGGAUUUACUGGGUGUAAAGGGAGCGUAGACGGUGCAGCAAGUCUGAUGUGAAAGGUCGGGGCCCAACCCCGGGACUGCAUUGGAAACUGUUGAACUGGAGUACAGGAGAGGUAAGCGGAAUUCCUAGUGUAGCGGUGAAAUGCGUAGAUAUUAGGAAGAACACCAGUGGCGAAGGCGGAUGACUGGACGACAACUGACGGUGAGGCGCGAAAGCGUGGGGAGCAAACAGG